UACGAAGGGUGCAAACGUUGCUCGGAAUUAUUGGGCGUAAAGCGCACGUAGGCGGCUUAGCAAGUCGGAAGUGAAAUCCCACGGCUCAACCAUGGAAGUGCUUUCGAAACUGCUGAGCUUGAGUACGAAAGAGGAUCGCGGAAUUCCCGGUGUAGAGGUGAAAUUCGUGGAUAUCUGGAGGAACACCGGUGGCGAAGGCGGCAUCCUGGACCGGCAUUGACGCUGAGGCGCGAAAGCCAGGGGAGCAAACGGG
rnacentral:rRNA from 1 species